rnacentral:rRNA from 1 species
CGUGCCUUUCUCUACGGAACAGUCCUGGGGAAACUGGGUUUAAUACCGUAUACCGCCCUUCGGGGGAAAGAUUUAUCGGGCAAAGGAUCGGGCCCCGCGUUGGAUUAGGUAGUUGGUGGGGUAAUGGCCUUACCCAAGCCGACGAUCCAUAGCUGGUUUGAGAGGAUCAUCAGCCACACUGGGACUCGAGACACGGCCCAGACUCCUACGGGAGGCAGCAGUUGGGGAAUCUUAGACCAAUGGGGGCAACCCUGAUCUAGCCAUGUCCGCGUGAGUGAUGAAGGCCCUAGGGUUGUAAAGCUCUUUCAGCUGGGAAGAUAAUGACGGUACCAGCAGAAGAAGCCCCGGCUAACUCCGUG